rnacentral:rRNA from 1 species
CAAAGUUAUAGGGUCAAGUGACUAAGUGCAUGU